AGUAGCGGCGAGCGAAGCGGGAAGAGUCCGAGAUGAAAAUCCUUUCGGGGAGUUGUAAUCUGGGCAAUGUUGAGUUUGUCGUGAGUGUAAGUCACAUGGAAUUGUGUACCGUGGAGGGUGAAAGUCCCGUCCAGCGCUCACAAAGGCAUUACUCGUACGACAUUGUUUCAACCGAGUCGGGUAGCUUGAGAUCGCUGCUCUAAUAGGUGGUAAACUUCAUCUAAGACUAAAUACUGGUGGGAGACCGAUAGCGAACAAGUACCGUGAGGGAAAGAUGGAAAGCACUUUGAAAAGAGAGUGAAAAGUACCUGAAACCGCCACGGGGGAAGCGUAUUGCAUCAGUGCUUUGCGUUUAGUGUCUGUUCAGCGAACCUGAAGUGUUUGUGUUUUCAGUUGCACUAGCGCAUGUUGGAAUGGCUGUCGAGUUAACGGUAAGUGUUAACUGCAACGAUAGUGAGGGCUCCCUCCACGCAAGACGAGGUGAGGAUUUCAACAAAAUGAUGCGAUUCGACCCGUCUUGAAACACGGACCAAGGAGUUUAGCAUUACUGCGAGUCGAAGAGUGUAUUAAACUUAGAGGCGAAGUGAAAGCGAGUAUAGCGUUAUUGUUGUUGUGUGUACUGUGGUGAUUCACAUGAACCGCAGCAGCAGCUAUGUGAGAUUUGUGAUAACAAAUCGAGGAGGUAUUGCGUCUUUGACAAAGUACCCUACCUGGAGCAGUAAUGCUGAGACCCGAAAGAUGGUGAACUAUACUGGAGUAGGGCGAAGCCAGAGGAAACUCUGGUGGAGGCUCGUAGCGAUGCUGACGUGCAAAUCGCUCGUCGAACUUGAGUAUAGGGGCGAAAGACUAAUCGAACCAUCUAGUAGCUGGUUCCCUCCGAAGUUUCUCUCAGGAUAGCGGGCCGACACUCAUCGAACAUCACUUGUGGUUGUUUUGUGUGGUAAAGCGAAUGAUUAGCGUAUUUGGGGGCGUAAUGCUUUCGGUCGAUUCUCAAACUUUAAAUACGCAAGAUAGAGGUUGUUGCUUUAUUGAACUCCUCAUUCUUUGAAAACGUCGGCCUUGUGGGCCACUUUUGGUAAGCAGAACUGGCGAUAUGGGAUGAACCAUUAGUUUGGUUAAGGCGUCUAAAUAUUCGCUUAUAGAUCCCACGAAAGGCGUUGGUUCAUUAAGACAGCAGGACGGUGGCCAUGGAAGUCGGAAUCCGCUAAGGAGUGUGUAACAACUCACCUGCCGAAUGAACUAGCCCUGAAAAUGGAUGACGCUUAAGCGAAUUGCCGAAACCAGACCGUUUUGGCAAAGCAGUACACGGUCAAAAUGAGUAGGAGGGCGUGGCGGUUUUGUUAAGAAGGGUGAGACGCAAGUCUACCUGAAACGGCCGCUAGUGCAGAUCUUGGUGGUAGUAGCAAAUAUUCAAGCGAGAUCCUUGAAGGGCGACGCGGGGAAGGGUUCCACGCGAACAUUGAUUGGGCGUGGGUGAGUCGUUCCUAAGCCGGGUGGUAAUCGUUCUUGACGAUCGGCGAAAGGGAAUCGGGUUAAAAUUCUCGAACACGGAUGUGGAGGCGGUGACGCAAAUUGAGGUGGAGACGUUAGCGGUGGCACUAGGCAGAGUUUUCUUUUCUGUUUAACCUAAUGUGCAUGUGGCUACGCUACCAUCACUUGUAACGAGUGUGUGUGUAUGCUAUGUGUUUGUGUACUCUGUGGAAUCCGAUUAUCGGAAGAAACAGGUACCUAACUGCGGGAAGAGGGUCGGGGUGUCCCCGGCCUCUAGUAUGCCACCGAUAGCCCUUGAAAAUCCAUCUGCAAUAUAAUUUCACGCCGUGGCGUACCGAUAACCGCAUCAGGUCCCCAAGGUGAACAGCCUCUGCUCAAUAUGAACAAUGCAGGUAAGGGAAGUCGGCAAAAUAGACCCGUAACUUUGGGAAAAGGGUUGGCUCUAGUGGGGUGAAGGGGAUGGUGUGUGCGCGUGUGGGUGCACAUUGUCUAACUGUGAUUAGUGUGGUUUGGCUUUGUAUACUUGGUAAUGGCUAACUGUGGGGCGCUCUAUGCUGCUACCGGUUUUGGCUUGCACUAGUAUCUUAGUUCUACGAACUUCGCACUUCUCCGACCUUCAAUAUGCUCUAGACUAGAACUGCAACGGGCAAAGGGAAUCCGACUGUUUAAUUAAAACAAAGCAUUGUGAUGGCCGAGGUCGGUGUAGACGCAAUGUGAUUUCUGCUCAGUGCUCUGAAUGUCAAAGUGAAGAGAUUCAAACAAGCGCGGGUAAACAGCGGGAGUAACUAUGACUCUCUUAAGGUAGCCAAAUGCCUCGUCAUCUAAUUAGUGACGCGCAUGAAUGGAUUAACGAGAUUCCUACUGUCCCUAUCUGCUUCUAGCGAAACCACAGCCUAGGGAACGGGCUAGGCAAAAUCGGCGGGGAAAGAAGACCCUGUUGAGCUUGACUCUAUUCUAAUUUUGUGACGCAAGUUAGGAGGUGUAGCAUAGGUGGGAGCUUCGCGUGCGGAGCGUCAAUGAAAUACCACUACUCUUAAUCUUGUUUUACUUAUGGCGUCAAACUGCACGACCUCUAUGCGGUCUAGUUUUUGGCAUCAACUUGGAUUCAUGUACACGCUCUACCUAGUUCUCUAGAGUAGAGUCGGUACCUCCUUGGAGCAGCGCGCCUGACAUAUUUAGGAGGGGAGUUUGGCUGGGGCGGCACAUCUUCUACAAGACAACGAAGGUGUCCAAAGAUGAGCUCAGUGAGAACAGAAAUCUCACGUAGCGCAAAAGGGUAAAAGCUUGUUUGAUUUCGAUUUUCAGUGUGAGUUGAAAACACGAAAGUGUGGCCUAUCGAUCCUUUCACAAUUCGAGGUUUGAAGCGAGAGGUGUCAGAAAAGUUACCACAGGGAUAACUGGCUUGUGGCGGCCAAGCGUUCAUAGCGACGUCGCUUUUUGAUCCUUC
rnacentral:rRNA from 1 species